UUCGUAAAAUGAUCGCACGGGAAGAGGAUGAGUCUGUUAUAAAGUUCGUAAAAUGAUCUCACGGGAAGAGGAUGAGUGUGUUAUAAAGUUCGUAAAAUGAUCUCACGGGAAGAGGGUGAGUCUGUUAUAAAGUUCGUAAAAUGAUCAAAGGAAGGGUGAGUGUGUUAUAAAGUUCG